rnacentral:rRNA from 1 species
AAAUCAAUGUAUAGGAGGUCCUACCUGCCCAGUGACUAAAUUAAACGGCCGCGGUAUUUUGACCGUGCAAAGGUAGCGCAAUCACUUGUUUUUUAAAUAAAGACCUGUAUGAAUGGUGAAACGAGGGCUUAACUGUCUCCUUUUUCUGAUCAGUGAAAUUGAUCUACCCGUGCAGAAGCGGGUAUAAAAAUACAAGACGAGAAGACCCUAUGGAGCUUAAGACAGAAAAUCAACUAUGUUAAAAACCCCAAUUAAGGGAACAAAACAAAACAGCAACUGAUUAGCGUCUUCGGUUGGGGCGACUACGGGGGAAAACCAAUCCCCCACGUGGAAUAGAACACAAUUCUAAAACCAUGAGGUACACCUCUAAGUCACAGAACUUCUGACCAAAUGAUCCGGCAACCAGCCGAUCAACGAACCAAGUUACCCUAGGGAUAACAGCGCAAUCCCCUCCAAGAGUCCAUAUCGACAAGGGGGUUUACGACCUCGAUGUUGGAUCAGGACAUCCUAAUGGUGCAGCCGCUAUUAAGGGUUCGUUUGUUCAACGAUUAAAGU